rnacentral:rRNA from 1 species
CAGUACGCGGGAAUACGAAGGGUGCAAGCGUUACUCGGAAUUACUGGGCGUAAAGCGUGCGUAGGUGGUGGUUUAAGUCCGUUGUGAAAGCCCUGGGCUCAACCUGGGAAUUGCAGUGGAUACUGGGUCACUAGAGUGUGGUAGAGGAUAGUGGAAUUUCCGGUGUAGCAGUGAAAUGCGUAGAGAUCGGAAGGAACAUCUGUGGCGAAGGCGACUAUCUGGGCCAACACUGACACUGAGGCACGAAAGCGUGGGGAGCAAACAGGAUUAGAUACCCCGGUAGUCCCUGUCUCUUAUACAC